AGUGUCCAAACCAUUGAUGCCGUAAGGCGUUGAGCAC
rfam:Synechococcus sp. PCC 7002, complete genome.